GAUGAACGCUAGCUACAGGCUUAACACAUGCAAGUCGAGGGGAAACGACAUCGCAAGCUUGCUUUUGAUGGGCGUCGACCGGCGCACGGGGGAGUAACGCGUAUCCAACCUGCCCACCACUUGGGGAUAACCUUGCGAAAGUAAGACUAAUACCCAAUGAUAUCCCACGAAGACAUCUGAAUGGGAUUAAAGAUUUAUCGGUGAUGGAUGGGGAUGCGUCUGAUUAGCUUGUUGGCGGGGUAACGGCCCACCAAGGCAACGAUCAGUAGGGGUUCUGAGAGGAAGGUCCCCCACAUUGGAACUGAGACACGGUCCAAACUCCUACGGGAGGCAGCAGUGAGGAUUAUUGGUCAAUGGGCGAGAGCCUGAACCAGCCAAGUAGCGUGCAGGAAGACGGCCCUAUGGGUUGUAAACUGCUUUUAUAAGGGAAUAAAGUGGGUCACGUGUGACUUUUUGCAUGUACCUUAUGAAUAAGGACCGGCUAAUUCCGCG
rnacentral:rRNA from 1 species